CAUGUUUUUUUGAUAAUAAUUUAAGAUUUAAUCUGCUCAAUGAUUAAUUAAAUUGCCGCAGUAUUUUAACUGUGCAAAGGUAGCAUAAUAAUUAGUUUCUUUAUUGGGAACUGGAAUGAAUGAUUGGACGAGAAAAUUUCUGUCUCUUUAUUAGUUUUAUUUAAUUUUACUUUUAAGUUAAAAGGCUUAACUUUAUUUAAAAGACGAGAAGACCCUAUAGAGUUUAAUUUAUUAAAAUUUAUUUUUUAUUGGUAUUUUUUUAAUUUAUUUUUUAAUAAAUUUAGUUGGGGUGACUAAAAGAUUUAUAAAACUCUUUUAAUAUUAAUCAAUUAUAUUUGAAUAUUAAAUCUAUAUUUUUAAAUUUAAAAUAAAUUACCUUAGGGAUAACAGCGUAAUUUUUUUUUAAAGUUCAUAUUAAAAGGAAAGUUUGCGACCUCGAUGUUGGAUUAAAAUUUAUUUUUGGUGUAGAAGCUUAAAAAUUAAGUCUGUUCGACUUUUAUAAUU
rnacentral:rRNA from 1 species